AGUGAACGCUGGCGGUAGGCCUAACACAUGCAAGUCGAACGGCAGCACAGUAAGAGCUUGCUCUUACGGGUGGAGAGUGGCGGACGGGUGAGGAAUACAGCGGAAUCUACUUUUUCGUGGGGGCUAACGUAGGGAAACUUCCGCUAAUAACGCAUACGACCUACGGGUGAAAGCAGAGGAUCUUCGGACCUUGCGCGAUUGAAUGAGACGAUGUAGGAUUAGCUAGUUGGCGGGGUAACGGCCCACCAAGGCGACGAUCGGUAGCUGGUCUGAGAGGAUGAUCAGCCACACUGGAACGGAGACACGGUCCAGACUCCUACGGGAGGCAGCGGUGGGGAAUAUUGGACAAGGGGCGCAAGCCUGAUCCAGCCAUACCGCGUGGGUGAAGAAAGCCUUCCGGUUGUAAAGCCCUUUUGUUGGGAAAGAAAAGCAGCAGGUUAAUACCCCGCUGUUCUGACGGUACCCAAAGAAUAAGCACCGGCUAACUUCGUG
rnacentral:rRNA from 1 species